AUACAGAGGGUGCGAGCGUUAAUCGGAAUUACUGGGCGUAAAGCGCGCGUAGGCGGCUUGGUCAGUCGGAUGUGAAAGCCCCGGGCUUAACCUGGGAAUUGCAUUCGAUACUGCCAGGCUAGAAUGUAGUAGAGGGUAGUGGAAUUCCGGGUGUAGCGGUGAAAUGCGUAGAUAUCCGGAGGAACAUCAGUGGCGAAGGCGACUACCUGGACUAACAUUGACGCUGAGGCGCGAAAGCGUGGGGAGCAAACAGGAAGAAACCCCAGUAGUCC
rnacentral:rRNA from 1 species